rnacentral:rRNA from 1 species
GGGGAAUAUUGGACAAUGGGCGAAAGCCUGAUCCAGCCAUGCCGCGUGUGUGAAGAAGGUCUUCGGAUUGUAAAGCACUUUAAGUUGGGAGGAAGGGCUGCUGGUUAAUACCCUGCAGUUUUGACGUUACCAACAGAAUAAGCACCGGCUAACUUCGUGCCAGCAGCCGCGGUAAUACGAAGGGUGCAAGCGUUAAUCGGAAUUACUGGGCGUAAAGCGCGCGUAGGUGGUUGGGUAAGUUGAAUGUGAAAGCCCCGGGCUCAACCUGGGAACUGCAUCCAAAACUGCCCGACUAGAGUACGGUAGAGGGUGGUGGAAUUUCCUGUGUAGCGGUGAAAUGCGUAGAUAUAGGAAGGAACACCAGUGGCGAAGGCGACCACCUGGACUGUAACUGACGCUGAGGCAUGAAAGCGUGGGGAGCAAAC